CUCCAGAUAAAUCUUCUUUUCUGGACCGGCUUUGACGUGGCGGAACACAAGGGCUAUACGACAGUCAACCAUGUCAUCGUGUACCAGACAAUCAAAUUAAUGUAUGAUGGGGCUAAAGAGCUUGCCCAAGGGGAAUCCGACUACUCAAAAUAUGCUAUUUUACCUGAUAAUCAGAAAUAAGCUAAGAGAGGCGGAACCCGACCCUGAUGAUAGCCAAAAUCAGGCCCCACUCCUCUCUCUCUGGCACCUACUCUUCAGAUGGCCAACAACACUUUGCCAGCAACGGCUGCUGUCCAGUUAAGAGCAAUGUGCUGCUCUCCUAUCUUCAGGAGAUUGGAGAAAAACUGUCAAAAAUAAGUGUCAGGUUUGAUUACCCACCCCUUAACAAAGAAGUCAUACAGGGUGUAUGAAAUCUAUGGGAAGAUCCAUCCAUCUAGGUGAAAAGAAGUUCAUAUUUCUGUAAAUGUGUAUACUGUCAAGCAACCAGUUUUAUUAUAAAGAAAUGCAUCUGUAAGAAACUUACUUGUGUGGAAGUGUGUUGCAAGUUCAUCCCCAUCCCCCGUCGGACCCAAUGUUGUAAGUUAGAAUAGUGGGUCUGCGGUUCUUGUUGCUGUUCUGCCGGCCCGCCGCCUCGUGUGCUGCCUUUCUUCCUGCCAAGCUUAUUUUGUGCCAGGAUUCUGAAAACGACCAAGGACAAGCAACUCAAGCGAAAGAUUGCUUCACUUAAUCUGGCGCUGUUAUUCUUCUGAAACAUGCUAAAGAAAGAUGAGAGGGAUCGGCAAAAAAGUUUGAACCUCCUCUUAGAAGGUUCAAAACGGGACGCGGGCAAGAUAGAUCUAGGAAAGUUGGUGCGGACGGCUCCGAAGUGGAGCCUAGAAGUGGCGAAUUUUCUUAAUACCGCUACAUUAAUCACCUUGAAAUUGGCAAUAGUGACAACCUAGAGGAAGAUGAUACCACCGAAAGUGAUGUGCCGGUGGAUGAUAUGGACGAAUACAACUAGAAUAUUGCCAAGGCUAUUAUUGCAUCAAGGGCAAGACUUAUUACCGAUGCUCAGCGCAAAGUCGAAUAUAUGCUCAAGGAAAUAUGGGUGCCUCCUCCAACGCUACCCAUAUCCAUUUGUUAAUGAUGACUCUGCUUGAUGUCGCCGCAUACCAGCAGAAGAUAAAGCUCAACCAUAGAUUGGAAGACCGGGGCUAUAUAGAUUGAUGUCUAAAACCAAUGCAGAUCACCCUGCUGAAGAAGGAGAGGAAGUUAGAAAUCAGUUUCAGUUUUACAGGUGCAAAAUCAACUCAUUCCACUGUAA